rnacentral:misc_RNA from 1 species
AUUUGUGUUUAAAUUAUAUGUGAAAAAUAGAAGUACGAAAGUAGAACAAAGAAUCCUCCCUAGCACAAGGGCCUCGUUCUGAUUUUACAAGUUAUCAACAACAAUGAGGUAUCCACCGCGUAUGCAUGGCCCAAACUACCCACGCGAAUGUUGUACAGGCCAGGCAGUGAUAAUCCUGUGGCUUUGGUAGUCUUGGACAAUCACGAACAGCUCCAUGCAAAAUCGACUUUCGUGAAACAUCGCAACAAGAGAGCUGUUUAGAGCACCAAAACAGCGGCAAGCCUAUGGCUGUGCAUACUGUGGCAUCUUGUCAAGCAGUCGUGACUCUGAAACCAUGCCAGGCAAAACUGCACCAGUGAACCCCAAGCUUGCUCAAGUGCCAACUGUGCAGAUAGAUGCUAGUGGAACCUUUAAAUAUAUUCUCUGCAAGAUAUACGAGGGCAACAACACCAGUGAUUACAAAUAUAUUGUGCGGGGCACAGCAGAUGCAAACUUUCAUGCUGAUAUGUAUGACUAUCUGGAUGCAAACCUGGAAGCUGAAGGCAUAAGCUGUGAAUGUGUGGGAGGUGGAAAAAUUACACAUGAUCCUGAAAAUAAGUCCAUCACAAUAUUUGGAAAAUCCCAGGCUUAUGGCCCUGCAAACCAUGCAACAACAGCAGGUCUGUUGGAAGAGCAUUUUCCAGACUACACAAGUAUCACCUGGUCAGAUUAGGAUUUGCUUAAUGGGAAGCAAUCCAAAAGCUUUCACAAUUUUUAUUUCCCUUACCAUGUUUGCUAGGUCCUACUUGCACCAAAGUUUUGCAGAUUGUGGUAUGUGCUAUUCUUUUAAUUUUUAAAUUUUUUUAAUUUAAACCAUUUAUUUGUCAACAUAUAAAAGCUCAUUAUUUUUAUUAUAGAAAAUGUUAAACCCUGGUUGAUAGCUUAUUUUCAGGGGAAAUUUGAAAUACAAUGGACUUUCAUCAUUUUUGGCCCACCAUAUUCUGAAGUGAUAUAUAAUGGUAUUAUUUUGUUUAUUUUAGUCUGUGGAUCAAUAUUUGUAAAAGGAAGGAGUUUAGGAGCUUUUUAAACAAUUCAGAAUACUUGUAAGCAUAUUUUAAGCCAGUUAUGAUUGUGUCUUAGAUUACAAAUUUAGUAAUAACCUAAUAAUAGGAAACUGGAGAAAGACCAAAAACAGUGCAACUGAAAGAAAAAAAUUGAAUUUACUUUUUCCACAUUAUUUAGUUUCAGCUGUCUAGCAAAUUAUGCAAGUGCAGAAGAUCUCAUAGGAAUAAUUAAUUUCAUAUGUGCAUUCAUUAGAACUUAAAUAUACUGUAAAUGUUUCUAUUUGGUGUUAUUUUACACUCAGAUCAGGAAUAACACUGGGUGGGCUGCUGAGAGAGGAUUCCUUCAGGUUGAUAUGGAUCAGUGAAGCACAUCUUUUUAACAUAAAUCUUUUCAUUCUUCCAAAUGCUUCUAGAAUGCUUGGACACCAUUGUGAAGACCUCGCAAAACUAAACAGCUUGCUUCUGGUGUUGCUGUGUUGGUUAGGAACAUGCUACAAAAUCAAGUAAUAUAUUAUGCUUUUCUUUGUAUACUUAAAAAAUAUUAUUAAAGAUGAUUGCAAGAUUGAGGACAUAAAAAUGUAUUUGUGCAAUUGUACAUUUAUUUAUAUUAGAUGACAGAUUAUAUGAGCAUGAGUACAAUGUAAUAAACACUGAAGGCUGUUCUAGAAACAAAGUGUGAUUUUGAAGGACACUGGCAAAGACUUCUGAGAAAGAAAAUAUGACUGCCAUAAUAUAAUUGUAACGUGUUUUAAUACACAUAAAUUUGUUGACCUAAAAUGUGUACUUAAUUUGGAAAGCAAAAAAUCAUUGAGGGCAAAUGAAAGUACUCCCUCCUUUUUGAUGUCAAGUUUGCCUUGAAAACUUCAAAUAUUUUAAAAGGAUGUGUUCUGUUUACAGAGUGUGUCAGGCACCUAGGUGUGUCAUACGUUUUGGUUUCCUUAAAGAUAAAAAGGUGUAGAAUUCAUUAAUGAUGUUUCGCGAAAUUGAUGUUGAGAAAUUGAUUAAGUUUUGUUGUUUCUUAUCUUAGAUUAAAGCUAUGUUAGUUUUGUUCAGAUCAAAACAUCUGUGAAAGAUAACUUUCAUUCAGAAAACGGAAGUUGAUAAAAAAAAAAAGGUGAUGCCAUUAUUUUAUAUCUGAUUUUUGCAGUGUAUCACAUUUGUUAACAUAUUCUGCUGUGGUGUUAUUAAUUCGCUACUGGCAUGAGUUUUUAAAAAAAGGUUGAAGGAUACGUUAUGUGUCUAGAUUUGUAAUGUUAGAGCAAAUUUAUCAAACUACAAUUUUUGGAUUUAUUUUUUACUGCCCACUAUGGCUUUACAAACUUGAUGGUGCUGUUAACUUAUCUUUUAGCAGCAUUGAUAGCGGAAAAACUUUAAAAAAUAUUUGCUGCUAGCCAAAAAAUAUCUAUGAGCCAUCUACUGUGCAGAUAAUUAUAUUUCUCAUAUUCAGAUGUUUUUUUCCUUCGACUUUUCAUAUUUGCUCCAAUGACUGUUACUGAUGAAAGUAAUUGCUUUUAUUUAUUUUAUUUUUUUGAGAGAGAACUAAACUGAAAAUAUUUCGAUAUUUUGGGAGUACUUUUCAUGUACUGACAGCAUUAAUCCUGGUUUAACGUUUGCAAUGCAAUUGUGAUCUCUUGGUGAUUCGAGACAUUGACGCAGUCGUUGCUUUAAAGAAGAAUUAUAACGAUUUUUGACGAGGAUAACUUGCUUUUUGAAAAGGCAGUGGCGUUUUUUAAGUGUGCGUGCGUUUGUAUGUGUGCUUGGAAGGGUUUGGGACGUACUCAACCACUUAGCUUCUGUGUUCCACAGGGCCACAAAUCAUGGUGUCCAGCUUUGUCCCGACAUCUCAUGUGGGAUCGUGAGCUUGAUACACCCGCGCUUAUUUACGACAUCAUCGCCGUCAGCAGGAAACGCAGAUCAUUUUCCCCAUAAAUCAUUUGGAACGAUCAAUAGAUUUUUGUAUGAGAUUUAAUAAUUAACAGGGGUUGCUUACUAAAUAAAUAUUUGAAGAA